rnacentral:rRNA from 1 species
CCAUAACCCGUGGAACGGAACUGGUAGUUCCACCGUCCAUUCUAACAGUCGUCUCAGCCUAUAAAACCCGGGCCACCCGGAAGCCUACACAAACCAAGCAGAUAAGCAGCUGUCCUACUGUCACAUACACACACACACAAGUGCUAGCUAGCUAAUCGAUCAGCCAGCCAUGUCGGAGGAGAAGCACCACCACCUGUUCCACCACAAGGAGGGCGAGGACUUCCAGCCCGCCGCUGACGGCGGCGUCGACACGUACGGGUACUCGACCGAGACGGUGGUGACCGCCACCGGCAACGACGGCGAGUACGAGCGGAUCACCAAGGAGGAGAAGCACCACAAGCACAAGGAGCACCUCGGCGAGAUGGGCGCAGCCGCGGCCGGAGCCUUCGCCCUCUACGAGAAGCACGAGGCGAAGAAGGACCCGGAGCACGCGCACAAGCACAAGAUCGAGGAGGAGGUGGCUGCCGCCGCAGCCGUCGGCGCCGGCGGCUUCGUCUUCCACGAGCACCACGAGAAGAAGCAGGACCACAAGGAGGCCAAGGAGGCCAGCGGCGAGAAGAAGCACCACCACUUCGGCUAGGUCGCCGUCGACGUGCGGUGGCCGGCCUCGCCGCCGGCCGUGCGUGUGCCUACGUUACGUGCGUUCCAUAAGUGAGAGAGGCUGGGACGUGGGCCUGGUCUCGUGCUCGCCUGUGCGUGAUUUUCUCUGCGUGCUAGCUUCCGCGUGCUUAAUAAGUGGGGUUGCUGUUUCUUGCAGUGGCUCUCACACCUCUUGCGUCGGUGUGUGUGUCGUGUGUCGGUGUGUGUUUCAAUUCUACCGGCGCCCUGUAUUUGUAAUUCCACUUUAUUAUGCAAGUCCUCACGAAACUUUUGUGGCCCAUCUUCUCAAAAUUUGCUCUAAUAAUGUCAUCGGAUCAAACUGCAUAUAUGCGUGUUCGAAUUCGAAUACUGGUUUAUUUAUUUUUGCG